CUCCACCCCACCCCCGUCCUGGCCCCUGAACAGCACACCAAAGCCACCAGACGGGGACCCCAGCUCCUUUGGACGGGUUGGCAGGCAGCAGGGCCCAAGGACCCAGAAGGGCCAGUGAGGACGCGUCUGGAUCCCCAGAGCUGCGCCCCGCCGGCACCGGCCAGGCACUACCCAUGUUCUGAGAGGACCCACGACGGGGACAGGCGGCACCCAGACCCCCUCGAAGGCGGAGCUGUUGCUUCCCAGUUCGCAGAUCGGGAAACUGAGUCCUGGGGGUAGAGGGCAGGGCCCCAGCCCCCUGACAGCCCGGGUCGUGUGCCCCGCCCUGUAGGAAGGAAGGGCCGAGCUCUCCUGUGCCCAGCACCCGAGGCUCCCUCCACUGGCCGGAAACUGAGGCCCCUUGCACAACCGGCCAGCCCGGGAGGGGUCCUGCGCCAUGUGUGGGGGGCGAUGCCACCUGCGCCUCUCCCCCUGCUUCGUCUCUGCGCCCCAGCUCCAUCUCCUCCGCCCUCUUCCCUCCUCCUCCGCCUCCUUCCUUCCUUCCUCUCCCUCCGAUCCUGCAGCUCCCCCCACAGAGCCCUGAGGAGAAUGCGCUGUGCUCACCACAGCCAUUGUCUAGCUCUGGACGACUUCCUGCCGCUGAUCAGGACUGGGGCCACCGUGGGGGUGACUGGGGCUAGACUGCAGGGAGGAGGUGCUGUGCUUCGGCAGGCAGGGGCGUCCCUCUCUGAGCCUCAGUGUCCUCGCCUGUAAGACAGGGACCAUCUUGCCAGGUGAGGUGACGCGUGCCUGUCAUCCCAGCACUCGGGAGGCUGAGGCAGGAGGGUCACCCUGAGUUCAAGGCCUGGAGUGAGACUGUUUCAAAGAAAAACAAGGAAAGAAAGAAAUGAGGCCCAUUCUGAUGGCUCCCUAAGUCGACUGUGACACCUAGGGAAUGACCCUAACAGAGGUCAUCUGGCCUGCACGUCAUGGGCACUUGGCUAACCCUGGUCCACUAGAGGUCAAAGCCCAGGCCAGCAGGGCCACCCCCUCCACACCACCCCGGCAGGGCUGAGUCCUUGAGCCCUUUCCUAGAAGCACCAGCAGGGGAGAACUCGAAGCCAGACCUGGGGCUUCUGGUGGGGCAGGGUGACAGAGGAGGGAGGAGUGCACCCCAGGUCUUGGCCUGCUGGGUGCCGGGGUGCCCUCCUGAAGGGGUUUGAGGAGAGGGUGGGUGGCCAGUGCCAACCCUAAGCACGCGAGUGCCCGUGGCUGUGGAAACUGGCUGUGGUGGCUGGCGUCUGUCCCUGUCCCUCUUCAGUAGGAAGAAGGACUCAAACCCUAAAGUGGCACUGGCUUUCUCAAGUCCGCUUCCAGUGCCUGCUUCUUGCCACACAUACAGCGGUGGGAAUUGCCUCAGAACCAGGCGCCAGGCACAGGGACGAGUGGGAGGCCAAGGAAGCUCCCGACGCGCAGUUCCUCCCUGCGCCUUGUGGCCAGGAAGCUGCUGGUGACAAGGCCAGGACACGACCACCGAGGCUCCCUGCAGACGGGGCUGCUGCCUACGCCACCCGCUCGGCCAGCCCUGCCCCUCACCAUGGCACCGAGCCCAGGGUGACCGCGCUGGCGCCUCUCUGGAUUGAACUCCGGACCUUGUGCUUGAGAGGCAGGCGGCAGAACCACUGAGCUAAAUCCCCAGCCCUCCUGUCCACUUUCUGCAAGCUCAACCCUGAAGCCAACUUGGCUCCCGGGAUGACACUGGUGAAACCCAGCCCCCCAAGUCCCUCUGCUGUGGCCUGUGCCUCAGUUUCUCUGGGGGUUGGGAGGCAUUGCUGAGGACCAUCAACCCCUGCCUCAAAUUGCAAGCCUAGGGUGACAGAAGCCUCUGAAUUCUCCAUGGACGUCGAGAGCAGAGCCUGGCACAGCCCCACACAGGGCCAGGCCGGAGCGAGAACCCUGGCGGGCAGUCAGGAGGGGAGAACACAGAGCCCCUGCAUCCCCCACCCCUCUCCUCAUCCUCUGCAGGCCGGAAGGAAGCCCAGGCGGGAGUCUGGCCCUCAGCUCCCAGAUGAGGAGAACUCGCUCAGAAGGAAAAUAACAUCAGUGCCAUUGUCCCGGCUCCAAAUCCUGCCUGAAAAACAAAGCCAGCCCCACUGCAGCCGGGGAUUCCCUGGCAAAGCCUCAGCCCGGCAGCCUGGUCAGGGCGGCGCAGACCCGCAGGGAGGCAAAGGGGUCAGCACCUGCAGUGGAGACUCCCGUGUACCCCACAAGCCCGGCAGCUGCCGCCAAGGGCUGCAGAGGCGGCUGGGGAGGAGGACGGUAGGCGGCGCCCCCUGAACAUCUGGCGACUUCUGCCCACUCCUGGACAGCUGUGUGCGGCUCUCAAAUUUCAACCCACCUCUCUCCUCCCCCGCAGCUGGCUGUGUCCACUCCUGGAUCCACCCCAGGGCCCGGGCAAGGGGGACAGGAGGCACAGAGUGCGGGGGAUGGGGUGGGGGUGGCCCGUGGGCUGGGAGGAGGCCCUCGGGGGUUUCUGUCCUGCUCCAAUCCCUGGGGCACCUGGUGGCUGUGAACCUGACAUGGCAUCUGAGAUCCAUGUCUUGAGGGGCCUGCCAUGCUGCAUCCACCUUGGCCCCUGCACCGGGCCCCCUUUGGGGUCCAGAGCACCUUACUGCCUAAGCCCUGCCUGCUCCCAGGGUGCAGGGUGGAAUCCGAUGGGGACCUGAGCUGAAGGUGCUGUGCUGGCAGCUUGAGGGGGCAGGACCCCAGGACCCCAGGACCACCCUGCAGGGUGAGGCCCCUCCUCUAUCCCCUUCCUUCCCUCUGACCCCUACCAAGCUGAAAGUGCCAGCCCGAGUGUUGUUCAGGCCUCUGGGCUCCAGGCAGGCUGGCUGGAAACAGGCACAAGAUGUUUGUCCAGGCGCUUGGCUGGGCCUGGAGGAAGGAGGAAGGGGAGGAAGGGCCAGAGCGGGCAGAAGCCCAGUCAGCAGCUGGCCUCGCCCUCCACACCUCCAGAGGCAGGCAGCGCCUGUGGGCCACAUCGCACCUGCUGAACAACAGGACUGUGCUGUGUGGGGACCUGGCCUGCACAGAGGUGUGCAGACGUGGGAAGGCGGACGGACACCUGUGGGCACCUAGAGGGAGCAGCUCUGGAGCGGGGAGAAAAUAGUUCUCUGUUGCUAUGCCGCUAGCCAGUGGAAUUUGUCACGGCAGCCAUCUGACCCCAGAACCUCUCUGCCUGCAGUGAGAGUGGCCGGCACCCGCCCCCAACAGAGCCCAUUUCUUCUCCUCAGGGCGCUGCCUCUCAGCACCCAGGUCUGGGCCUGGGGUGGUGGCACUAGCCUGCAGCUCCAGCCCUCUGGGAGGCUGAGGCAGGAGGAUUGGAAGUGCGAACCCAGCCUGGGCAACUUAGCAACUUGGCAAAACUUGUCUCAAAAUAAAAUA
rnacentral:lncRNA from 1 species